AACCUGCCUUUGAGAAGGGGAUAACUGUCCGAAAGGAUAGCUAAUACCCUAUAUUGCCUUUUGUCACUAAGGCAAAAGGUGAAAGCGAGGCUGUCAAGGCUUCGGCUCAAAGAGGGGUUCGCGUCCUAUCAGGUAGUUGGUGGGGUAAUGGCCUACCAAGCCAAUGACGGGUAGCUGGUCUUAGAGGAUGAUCAGCCACAGUGGGACUGAGACACGGCCCGCACCCCUACGGGGGGCAGCAGUGGGGAAUCGUGGGCAAUGGGCGCAAGCCUGACCCCGCAAUGCCGCGUGAGGGAAGAAGCCCUUCGGGGUGUAAACCUCUGUCAGAUGGGAAGAUGGGACUAGGGGCUAAUACCUCCUGGUCUUGACAGUACCAUCAGAGGAAGGGACGGCUA
rnacentral:rRNA from 1 species